rnacentral:misc_RNA from 1 species
GUGUACGCCUCCUUUGGAUGCUCUCAACACCACGUCAACUUCUCAUGGAUUUGUCUUUGAAAAUUUCCUCUGCCUUGCGACUGCUUGGUGAUAACUCUAAAACUGAAUAUGCCACUUACCAGGAGGUUCUUCGAAAAGUAUCUGAAGACCUUAAAAAGGACUGUAAAUCGAGCACUUUAAUCCCUGAAAUUAAUGUCAGAGAUGGUGGUGUGGUGACCCACUGCCAUGCUGCUCUGGCAACUCUCUUCAUUGAGUCUGUACGUGGAGGUCAUAAUGCAUCGGUUGUCACCUCUGCUCUGGAGGAUCUCAACUGGCCAGCUGAUCGUUUAACUGAAACAGUCCAGGAGCUAGAAUCAAACCGGCAGUUAAUACAGUCAAGACUUGCAUCCCUCGGGACGUAUCCUCCUCAUAUAGUUGAUGUUGACUGGAAGUUGAAUUACCGAGUUAGAAGUAGUGCUGGUGAGGAAGGCGGUGGAGCUAUGUACUUGGUGACACUUCACACACAAGAGAUGGAGGGAAAGAGAGGGAAGGUCACAUUUUCAUGUUCUCUAGCUGAACUCACACAUCUCGUUACACGCCUCAGGCAAGCCACUCGCUGCAUUCAGAAAUAUGCUAAUAACAGCUGAUUGAAUAGGGCACAUAGGUUUUGUAGUUUCAAUUUAAUUAUCAAACUUGCUCAGAAUGAACCAUUUAUGGUGCUAGGGUCUUUUGCCUUGUACUCUUUAUUCAGGUUUUCUAUUAAGUAUUUAUGACAGUUCAUUAGAAAAAGGUUUUUGUGGGACUGUCUAUAGAACAUUGAUUAUUUACACUGUACUGUUAUUAUUAUGCAAGAUACAACAGUAAAGUUUGUGAGCUGCAAUUAUUGAUUUUAUUGGUCAAACUUAAGUAGCUGCCUUAUAACGUUCAGUAAACUGUUGCCAUACCUUCUUGAGUGUAUAAGAUUCCAAUUUAUUUCAUACUCAUUUCCUGUACAGUACAUUUAUGCAGUGCAAGAAGUUAAAGAAAAGCAUUCUGCAUCCAAUUAAACCUACAGAUGAAUAGUUGUUUAGUGAAAAGUGCUUUGCUUUAUUAGCACUUGUGCAAGUUGGGCUUAUUUAUUUUAGUAAAGGCAUAUUAAAGUUCUUAUCAUCAAAAAAGGGAUCGGGGCAGGUGAAAGUCAUUUAUCUAUUAAAGCAACUGUUUUGGUAUGGAUUCUCCACUUACAUAUAACUUUUGAUAUUCUUGCUUCACUCUCUUAAGAAAUGGAUAGCAAAGGGCAGUUAAUGUUUUCUUUGUGCUCUUUGUAUGCAUUAAGGAAAAUCAUAUGUAAUGGCAAAUUUCACAUUAAAAGUAAGCUGUGUUAUAAGAUAUAUUUUCACAUAACUUACAAUAUUACCAUUGGUCAAUUUUCUUGUUGAAAAUGUUAAAACAGACAGUGGUUUUGUUGAAGUGUACAUUUCAGAUCACUUCAACCUGUCAACCAAGGCUACAUUAAACAAUCAUACAACGGCAGCUGUUUGUUGCUUGCUUUGAAUUUUUCAUCCAAACAUGGCUCAGGAACAGUUGAUUCCCUGUGUAUAUAUAUGAACUUGACAAUACUGUAAUUAUAGGCCUUCACAAUUAAAGAACAAAUUUACAAUCCUCUUAGAUAAUCUCAAGGAAAAUGCAGUAGUAAAGUUACUGGACAUGUACAGUUGUGGACAAAAAAAAAGUGUCAGGGAGAGAGUGUAAGCUUUACCUGCCUCAUAAUUAAACUAAAAACAGAAAAAAAAUGUGGUGUGAAAAAUAAAAUCGCAGAACUUUUAAUUGCCACCUCUAUGCACCGUGCCAAGUCUCCACCUCCCUCCUUAAUUCUUUGUGUCCACAACUAUACAUCUGGAUCAUCAUAUAACACAAUGGGUUUUCCAGGGAUUAUAUUCUGACAAAAGUAACUCUGGAAUAACACCAAUGAAGUGAACAUACACAUAAUCAGUGAUGACGUUGCACAGCUUUGACAACAGUUACUUAAAUAUGUAUUCCGGUCUGAGUUGGCGGGGUUUACUGUACUUUGAAGUGGAAUUACCACUGUUCCAAACCAUUAUAAUACUGUACUUUAUUUAAUAAUCAGAAGUGUUUUUCACUUUUAUGAAUGAACUUGGUCUACAAGUAAAAAUUGAUCCAGGGAAAGAAUAAAUGUUCAGGUGAACUAGACCCAUCAUUCCUGAAAAGGGGAUGACUCUCGCACUGGAACCUCAAGCUGAGCUAGUAUAUUACAAUCAACAAAUUAAUAACAUUGUUACCAGUGAACAUGUUCAUAUAGUUUGUGAAAUUGCUGUUUUACAUUUUAUAAAUGCAAGUAAAAAGAUCUUUCCUGUUAGUAGUGCAGUGAUUGCACCUCGCAGAAGCCAUACUGGUGUCUUGAUUUUUUUAUGUGGUUUGAGAAGCUUAAAUUAUCCAAGGUAUAUGAAAUCACACUGGGGUUCACAGUUCCUAGGCCAUCUCCCGAUAGUGUGACAAAGUAAUUGUCAUACGAGAGAGUAGUUCAAUGUCCUGCUUUAUUGUGACUUAUCCUUUCAUUAUUGAUGGGUCUUAGCCUUUAUAUAAUUCAAUAGUUCCUUUAUAACAGUUGUAUAAAUGAAGUGAUUUAGAAUACAGUAAUUGUAAAGAAUUACAAACAGAUGUUAAAAGAUGUUGAGUGUUUUCACAUUUUCUCAAAAUAUGAAAAAGUUGUUCGAUAUUUGUAUCAUUAAAAUACAAUCUCCACCUUAGCAUAUAAGAAAUAACUUCUAAUUAGGAUUAGAAUAUACUGUCAGAAGCUGUAAAAAAAAAAACAAUUUUGUUUGUUUGUACUAGUUUGAAGCACUUAACCUUUUCUAGAAUUUACAUUGUUUAGACUAAAAUAAUAUUGAGAAGGAGCUUUAUCAUCUAUAGAGCAAGGUAUAACUGUGUGACUUGGGGUUAAAGAAAAGAACCAAUAAUUCAGGAGAGGCAGUACAGUAUUUGGGUUGUGUGUGAGUGAGAGAAUGAAGAGAAGCAAAUUAUCAAGAGCACAAUUUCAUUAUUUUAACAGAAUGAAGGUGGAGAAUGAUGAAGUACAGUGAAAAUGAAGGUGGAGAAUGAUGAAGUACAGUGAAAAUGAAGGUGGAGAAUGAUGAAGUACAGUAAGAAUGAAGGUGGAGAAUGAUGAAGUACAGUAAGAAUGAAGGUGUAGAAUGAUGAAGUACAGUGAAAAUGAAGGUGGAGAAUGAUGAAAUACAGUGAGAAUGAAGGUGGAGAAUGAUGAAGUACAGUGAAAAUGAAGGUGGAGAAUGAUGAAGUACAGUGAAAAUGAAGGUGGAGAAUGAUGAAGUACAGUAAGAAUGAAGGUGGAGAAUGAUGAAGUACAGUAAGAAUGAAGGUGGAGAAUGAUGAAGUACAGUGAGAAUGAAGAUAGAGAAUAAUGAAAUACAGUGAGAAUGAUGGAGUACAGUAUGACCAUAAAGUAGCAGCAACACAGGAAUUGUUAAAUAUGUACCGUAAUUCAAGUGUGAAGCCAUGUUUUGUACGGACCACAGCUUGUGAGUGUUAGAGUGUCUUGGUAGAUUUAAAUACAUAAAUACAACAUUAUUUCUGUGCAAUGCAAUAAUGUUUAUCACUGUGAUAAUUGUGAUAUUUUACAACUUUUCACUGUCAUCGAGUCAUUCAAUCAAUUGGAAGUACGGUACUGUAGUGUUUGCUGUAAUAUUUUUCGGAUUAUUAGAAAUUCUAUCUCUUUGCAAGUGCCAAAUUUUAUCCUAAUCAUUUAUAAAUAGGGUAAUGUAUUUUAAUGCCAUAUCUUUGAUCUAACACAAAGCACAUAUCUUCUUUUUUUACAAGAAUCCACAACUGUUAUUCCCAUUGUAAGAAGUAGUUUAUUAUAACCAAUUGUUGUAGAAUGAGAUGUCAUGUACAGUAUAAUAUUUUUAAUUGAAAUUUAAGAUAUUUAUUUCAUUCCUGUUUAUUUUGUUUUGGUGCAGUUGUGUAUGUGGGAAUGAUUUCCUUUAACUCAACAUGAGUUGAUCAUAAUGUAUUUAUAUUAAUUUUUAAAUCUUUAUGCAUGUUUUCCACUUCAAUUAGCCAAUGAGUGUGUGACAGAUGGAAGCCUGUGUCAUAUAUGGUGGCUAUAAAAGCUCCAUUGAAUACUCAUGCUUGUAGCCAUGGAAAUGAUUCUGUAUAUCACCAUUUAGAAGUCUUUGUACUGUUCUAGGAAUUUCAUAUAAUGUUGUUUUUGUUGAGUUUUCAAGCCAUAGAAGAUUUUUGGGCCAGUGUCUUUUUGCUAGACUAAAAUCAGUUAAGUUAUCUCAAGCAGGCGUACUGACAUUUCAUUGGGGCAUGUGUUAUCCUUCAGUAAUUUAUUAAAACUACAGUAAAAUAUCUGUUAACUGAAAAUCUAUUUUAUGAAAAUUUUUAUCAUUCUAAAUAUAAAAUUUAAGAAUAAACAGUAGAAUAAUU